UGUCACCCUCUCUCUCCCUCUCUCCUCCCUACCGCCCUCUUUCUCUCCAUGCUCUCCUCCCUACCGCCGCCUCUCCCCUACUCUCCUCCCUACCGCCGCCGCUCCCUACUAUCCGCAAUCCCCGCCCGCUCCCGCGGUAUCCAGAUCCAGCGCGAGGGAGGGCAGCGGCGCCCCCUUCCUCCACCCGUCCACACCCCGAAGAUCCUCCGCACCAACCCUCCUCCGCCCGACCACACCCCGGAGCUCCUCAGCCAGGCCCCAUGCGUCGCCACCCAGGAUCUCAGGGCCGAGGCUUCGCCGUUCUCCGGCACCGCCCCGAGCAGUGAUGCCAUCGCCCAGGCCUGCCCGAGCCCUCUGCACGCGCCUCCGGGCCGGUAGCGGAGAUGGCAGACAGGGCAUCGGCGUCGGGCGGCCUCGGAUAGCCUGGGCCGAGGAGGUUGGGAUCUGCAUGAGUUCGUCAAGGCCUGCUCCGCCCACCUCAAACGCUCCGGCAAGUGAUAAUGCCAUCUAUUCUUGGAUCACUGAUGGCAUCUCCAAGAAAGUGGUUGCUAUAUGUAUGUCUGCAGUUCUACACAAAACAGUGAAGCUCUCCGAAGAUCUCUCAUGUGUUGUCAUCAGGAUGCACCAGAGCAGAGCAGUGUGUCGCAUUGGAGUUUAUAAUGGUGGAAUCGGAAACUGCAUUCAUGUAUGGAGACGUUUUCUGAAAAUGCCAAUUCAUCAACAGAAUUUUGUGAUCUUGAAAGCUGUGUAGUAUGGAGAGCAUCAUGGUAACGUGUAGUAGUAAACUUCGUAAUAAACUCCUGCUGGUACUGAUUGAUAUGUU